UUCCUUGGACUCACCUGUUGUUUCCCUUUCUUGGGAUUUUGGACUUCUCAUUCCCCCGUGGCACACGCGCACAAACACACGCACACACGAGCACGUGUCAACAGCGAGCAGGCAGCAACAGUACUCCUCAGUUUCUGGAGCUGGACGUUGUUCCACACGACACCGGAGAGCGAGCGGACUUGCACCCGAACCCUGACUCCUCGACACCCGCAGAGCUCCGGGAGGAUCCCCGCGAGGGGUGCUGGCUUCUCGGCGGCGCAGACUCCACUUCUGCGGGACUGUCUCGUUGAAUGUUCCGGCGCGUCGAGCCGACAAGCAGCUCCCGAGACGAGGGAUGGAGAAAGUAAACACGCACGUCUGAGCCGAUUCCCUCCCGAGUUGGUGAUUCCAAGGCAGCGACACCUGAAGAAACUUGUCCGCCGUCGAGUGCGCUGCUGCGGGCGCGUCAGGGCUGAGAUGCGCGGUGUAACAUGGAUCACCGAGAAGGGCUGAACAUCCUCCAAAAACAGAAAUGCGAAGGGGCCACAGGAGGCGAAGCCAGACGUCUGCGCGCUCACCACUGGAUGUAAACUGGUUUCGACCCGAGAUCAUUACUAUGGAUUUGUUAUGGAAACUAAUAUUGCUGCUGUCGCUGGUGGAGCUGGUGUCAGGUAGUGGACCCCUGUUGAGGCCGGUGUUCACCAAACAGCCUGGCAGUGUAGUGUUUCCUCUUCAACCGGGAGAGAACCGCAGAGAGGUGGUCUUCAGCUGUGAGGCCCAGGGACAUCCGCCACCUCAGUACAGAUGGAAACUCAACGACUCGUUCAUCCAGACCAGACCAGGCUCACGUUUUUCUCUGGUGGGAGGAAACUUGCACAUCAGCCAUCUGAACAAAGCAGAGGACGUUGGCGUCUAUCAGUGCUUGGCAUGGAACUCGCUCGGCACCAUCCUCAGCCGAGAGGCCAGUCUUCACAUUGCAUACUUGGAGAACUUCAAGACUCAGCAAAGGAGUCCGGUGAGGGUCCGAGAAGGUCAAGGAGUGGUGUUGCUGUGCGGACCGCCCGCACAUUCUGGAGAACUCACCUUUACAUGGAUCUUCAACCAGUACCCGUCGUUUGUCGUCCAGGACACGCGGCGUUUCGUGUCCCAGAAGACGGGGAACCUCUACAUUGCCAAAGUGGAGCCGUCCGACGUGGGCAACUACACUUGUGUCGUCACCAACACGGUCACCAAGAGCAGCAUCCAGGGACCCCCGACACCGCUGGUGCUGCGGCUGGACGGUGUGAUGGGCGAAUACGAGCCGAAGAUCGAAGUGCAGUUCCCAGAGAUUGUUCCGGUCGCGAAGAGCUCGACUGUAACGCUGGAAUGUUUUGCACUUGGAAAUCCGGUGCCAACCAUCAGCUGGAGACGAGUGGACGGAGUCGCUCCGACCAGGAAGGUGGACUUGAAUAAGGCCAGCGGUGUCUUAGAAAUCCCGUACUUCCAGCAGGAGGACGCCGGGGUCUAUGAAUGUCUGGCGGAGAACAGCAGAGGACGAAACUCCGUCAAAGGAAAGCUGUCUUUCUACGCUGCGCCCCACCUGACAGAGAAGCCUCAGGACGUCCAGAAAACCAUCGACGACCCGCUGACGUGGGAGUGCAAGGCCAGCGCCAAACCCAAGCCCUCCUUCCGCUGGCUGAAGAACGGCGAGCCUCUGGACUCCAUGGAGCAGGACAGAGUUCAGAUGAGUAACGGAGUGUUGACCAUCAGCAGCCUGAAUUUGGCUGACAUGGGCAUGUACCAGUGCGUGGCUGAGAACAAACACGGCAGAGUCUACACCAACGCCGAGCUCCGAGUCGUCGCGAUCGCCCCGGACUUCUCCCAGAACCUGCUGAAACCUCAGACUCUGGCCCGACAGAGUGGAGAUGUGCUGAUUGAAUGCAAGCCCAGGAUGUCUCCACGGGGGGUCAUUUCAUGGAGGAAGGGGAAGGAAGCUCUGAGAGAAAGUCACAGAGUGACGGUGCUGGACAGUGGAAGCUUGAGGAUCUCCAACGUUAGCAAGACGGACGCCGGCCUCUACACUUGUGUGGCCAGGAACCAGUUUGGGGUCGCCAGCAGCGCAGGAACGCUCUUGGUAAAAGAGUCGACAGCUAUCACCAGUCCUGCUGGUCAUCUGGACGUGACGGUUGGGGAGAGCAUCGUGCUUCCCUGUCAGGUCUCUCAUGACCCCACCCUGGAGCUGAAGUUCACCUGGUUCUUCAACGAGCAGGUCAUCCAGUUCGGGAGCAUCGGGGCGUAUUUCGAGAAGGUGGGAGGGCGUUCCGCCGGGGACAUCAUGAUCCGGAAUAUCCAGCUGAGGCAUGCUGGGAAAUACACCUGUGCCGUGCAGACCAAAGUGGACAGCGUUUCUAUCGCCACCGACGUGGUGGUCAGAGGUCCUCCCGAUCCCCCGGUGGACUGUCAAGUGACCGAGAUGACUGAGACCAACGCCUCUGUGUCCUGGCGGCCUGGCUCUGACAACCACAGCCCCAUCCUGGGUUUCACCAUCCAAGCCCGGACCCCCUUCUCCCUGGGCUGGCAGGCCAUCACCACCGUUCCGGAGCUGCUCGGGGGGAAGCAGCUGUCAGCCACUGUCAUCGGCUUGAGUCCCUGGGUGGAGUACGAGUUCAGAGUGCUGGCAGCCAACAGCGUCGGCACGGGCGAGCCCAGCAAGCCGUCCAAGAAAGCCCGCACCAAAGACAUGCUUCCCAGGGUGACGACUUCCAGGGUGAACGGUGGAGGAGGGGGGAGGUCCGAGCUUGUCAUCACUUGGGAGCCGGUUCCCGAGGAGCUCCAGAGCGGUCCAGGAUUCGGCUACGUGGUGGCGUUCCGCCCGCUAGGGGCUCAGGGCUGGAUGCAGGCCGCCGUCACGUCCCCGGAGGCGUCCAGAUACGUCUUCAAGAACGACAGCAUCCCUCCGUACACCCCCUACCAGAUCAAGGUGGGCGUGUACAACAACAAGGGAGAAGGACCCUUCAGCCCCAUCACCACCAUCUACUCUGCAGAGGAAGAGCCCAGCAGAGCUCCCGGGAGGCUGAGGGCAUGGAGCGUGUCAGCAUCUGAGGUGGAGGUCACCUGGAAGCCGCUCGCCUGGAGCAACAACCGCAGACGCGUCUUGGGAUACGAGCUGCUGUACUGGGGCGCCAAGCAGAACCAGGAGACGGCCAGCGUGGUGCGGACGGUGGGGAACAAAUCCUCCCUGCUCCUCAGAGAUCUGGAGGGCAGCAGCACGUACCACAUGACCCUGCGGGCCUACAACAGCGCCGGAGUGGGACCACAGAGCAACACAGUCAAUGUCACCACCAAGAAGCCACCACCCAGCCAGGCCCCGGGCAAAAUCAUGUGGGACACCUCCAACUCCAAAGUCAUCCUGCGCUGGGACCAAGUGCACGCCCUGGAGAAUGAGUCUGAAGUCACGGGAUACAAGGUGAUGUACAGCCAGGACAAGCACAGCCAGCCCAGCGUGGUGGAGACCAACACCACCUCUUUGGAGUUGUCUCUGCCUGUCAACCAGGACUAUGUGAUCCAGAUCAAACCCUUCAGCGAGGGCGGGGAGGGACUCAGCAGCCGGCAGAUCACCAUCCCCAGAGUCGCCGGCUCGAUGGCGAUGGGGGCAGCGUCCGGGUUAUCCUCCUCGCCCCCUGUGCUCCGCGGGGCGGCCGUCCUCCUCCUCCUCCUCCUCACAUCCAGGGCCGUGCUAUGACCAACGUGAGGGAACGGGACUCUGCGACCCAGAGGAGAAACAGCAGGUCCCGUUUUGACCCCCGAACCGCCGCAGCGAUGACCUGACACAGAGGUGAAUCGUGGUGACGCUGGUUUAUUCACUUCAGAAGAAAGCAAGUACAAUGUACAGCAAAGACACAGCAACAGGGGGCAGCAGCUGGAGGCCGCGCAGGAAGAGGGAGUGGUCCGGGGCCGCGCGUCACGAGCAGACGUGACCUUGGAUGAGCAGCGCAAGCGCUUGCACAGGAACUGAAAUAAGAAACGGCACAUGUCACCACAAACAUGUAAAGUCUAGCCUCUAUUGGGAUUCUUGUUGGAAAUGCACCCAGGCAACCAGCGUCGCUCCGGUCAGCCAAGGAAGUGGAAGGUAUGUGGCGUCGUUCUGGCUGAGCUCGGUUGGAACAGUGAGUCAGUGGCCCUCUCUUUCUAACACCAGGAAGUGUGGCUUGAGUUCUGUGUGAGGGAAGCAAGUAAAAAGAAGGCCUUCUGGUUUGUUGUUCAGGUUACCAGACAUUAGAUACAUUGUACUUUCAAGGCUUAAAGCUUAACUUCACACUAACUUUUGUUCAGUGCACAGGCUUCUCAUGUUUCAAUGUUGUGUUUGAGAAGCAGUGAAAGAAUGGUAGUCGCAGUUCUUGGCUCACAUUGAUCAGGAAGUGAGGCCAUCCGGCUCUGAGAAGGUACUGAAGCUUGUCGACAGUUGCGUUUGUGUUACAGCGUAAAUGGAGGUGUGUCAUUCUUUGGACACGUAUGCAGCUUUGCAUGAGGUGCUGUAACCAAGUGUGCGACUGUUGAAAUGUAUGAGAGUUUAGGUUCAGUUGGUGCUGUGCUCUUGUGGACUUUGCGAUGACAAACUGUCGUUGUGUCUUCACCACAGGCAGAUCUUUAUUCUAUAUGACAUUCAUUUCCAAGGAGUCACUUGUGUUUCUGACUAGAGGCUAAAAGCUUUUGUUCCAGUUUCCUUUAGUUGUGUGUCAUUUCCAGUUUUUGUGAGAUGGUGGUGCUACUGAGUCGUCAUAUUAAGGAGUUAGUUAAACCGAGUGUUUGAGAUGUUGUACAGGAGGUUGGUGUUUGGAGGCGCUUCUCCAGCUGGUUUGUGGAGAGCGCUUCCAUAACAAAUCAAAUCACAAGUGCAGUUCCAAACAAAGCAGAUCAGAGAGGAGUCCUUGAGUCUGAGCCAGUCCCUCUGUCCAGGGGUGUGGGAGCUCUUGCUGCGUGGCGUUCCAAAUCUUCCUCCAGUCCAGCGGGGGUCACUGUUGCUUUGGAGAGUCAGGACUGUGGAGGAAGAGCAGAUGCGGUCAGGUCCUCUACAUGAGUGGAAGGCUGCUGAGAGAGAGGUGUAGCUCUGAGCCAUGUACCUGGGAUGCACCUCGUCGCUCUUCGGACGAUGAUUCUGUUUCCCUGACAACGACAGCCUUGGUCACCAGCAUGUCUGGGUGCUGCUGCCGGGCUUCCUGAAUGGCUAUGGCCAGAGCCUGGAGGGAGAGGCAGAGGGUGGAGAUGUGCAUGUGUCAUUACACUGGAGGUUGCUUCAUCUGUUCCUGGACUGAGAUGGUAAUUACAGUGUAGUAGCGUGGAGUCACAUGACCUUGGUGGAGGGCGGUGGAGUCACACAUGUCGGGGGACAGUAUCCCCAGAGAGUUUUCUCUACCUAGAUGUCUGCCACUAACCUUCUGUCUCAUAGGUUCACCAUGUGAGGAGCAGCACACAGGCAAAGUUGCUCUGGCAAGACUGUCCCCAGCUCAGGUCACACUGAAGAACCUCUUCCAAACACUUCUAGACUAAAGCACAUGGAGCUCUGGAACAGUUUCACACCCUCCACCAUAUCGCUCUCAUGGCUCCUCUCUCCUCUACUGUCACCCCAUGUAGGUCACCACACGACCAGGGGUUGCAAUAUGGCAACCAGAGCAGGUAACUGUUGAACUUCUCUUCCAGGAUGGAACCAGCUCAUCAGAAGUGUGGGAGUUCACCAGUUACCUGCAGUGGUUGCCAUAAUGUAAACCAGGGGUCACCAAAGUGUUCCAGAGAGGGCCGCAGUCGGUGCGGGUUUUUGUCCCAACCAACAAGCUCACACAGUUUGACCAAUCAGGU